GUAUUUCACAAUAUCUGUACAUAUUUUGUUUUAUAAGCUCGACGAGACUGAGUGUAUUGACACGAGUGCGACUAGAGGAACAAUGUGGAAAAACUGUUCUAGCGUACUUAGAAUACGGUUAGCAUAGCAUCGAUUGGAGGAGGGUGUUGGGCAUCAAUGCUAUUCAUUGUAUGUACAACGGCGAAUGCGAAAGAUCCAACGUAUUAAAUUUAGACAUCCUAAAUCGCUUAAAUAAUUAUACAUUUUUCUGGGUUACAAU
rnacentral:ribozyme from 12 species